UUUUAAAAAAUUAGGAAGAGGACAUACGUUUGCUUACGGCCAUACCUCUCUGGCUCCGCCUGAUCUCGUCUGAUCUCAGAGGCUAAGCAGAGUAGGGCCUGGUUAGUACUUGGAUGGAAGACCGCCUGGGACUCCCAGGUGCCGUAAGCUUUUUCAAUUCUAUUUGUAAAAGACACAGAGAAGGCCUUAGAAAGUGACUCCAUUUAAUUGUCAAAACUACAAAACCUUUGACACAUUUUAAAAGAUUAGGUAGAGGACAUACAGUUGCUUACGGCCAUACCUCUCUGGCUCCGCCUGAUCUCGUCUGAUCUCAGAAGCUAAGCAGAGUAGGGCCUGGUUAGUACUUGGAUGGAAGACCGCCUGGGAAUCCCAGGUGCCGUAAGCUUUUUCAUUUCUCUCUCUGGAAGAAAUUGAGAAGGCAUUAGAAAGUGAAUCCUUUUUCAUUAUCAAAACUCCAAAACCUUUGACACAUUUUAAAAUAUUAGGAAGAGGACAUACAGUUGCUUACGGCCAUACCUCUCUGGCUCCGCCUGAUCUCGUCUGAUCUCAGAAGCUAAGCAGAGUAGGGCCUGGUUAGUACUUGGAUGGAAGACCGCCUGGGAAUCCCAGGUGCCGUAAGCUUUUUCAUUUCUCUCUCUGGAAGAAAUUGAGAAGGCAUUAGAAAGUGAAUCCUUUUUCAUUAUCAAAACUCCAAAACCUUUGACACAUAUUAAAAGAUUAGGUAGAGGACAUACAGUUGCUUACGGCCAUACCUCUCUGGCUCCGCCUGAUCUCGUCUGAUCUCAGAAGCUAAGCAGAGUAGGGCCUGGUUAGUACUUGGAUGGAAGACCGCCUGGGAAUCCCAGGUGCCGUAAGCCUUUUCAUUUCUCUUUCGGGAAGAAAUCGAGAAGGCAUUAGAAAGUGAAUCCUUUUUCAUUAUCAAAACUCCAAAACCUUUGACACAUUUUAAAAGAUUAGGAAGAGGACAUACAGUUGCUUACGGCCAUACCUCUCUGGCUCCGCCUGAUCUCGUCUGAUCUCAGAAGCUAAGCAGAGUAGGGCCUGGUUAGUACUUGGAUGGAAGACCGCCUGGGAAUCCCAGGUGCUGUAAGCUUUUUCAUUUCGAUCUGUAAAAGACACAGAGAAGGCCUUAGAAAGUGACUCCUUUUUCAUUAUCAAAACUCCAAAACCUUUGACACAUUUUAAAAGAUUAGGAAGAGGACAUACAGUUGCUUACGGCCAUACCUCUCUGGCUCCGCCUGAUCUCGUCUGAUCUCAGAAGCUAAGCAGAGUAGGGCCUGGUUAGUACUUGGAUGGAAGACCGCCUGGGAAUCCCAGGUGCCGUAAGCUUUUUCAUUUCUCUCUCUGGAAGAAAUUGAGAAGGCAUUAGAAAGUGAAUCC
ensembl:lncRNA